AAACCCUANANNUCUNGCUUCUCCUUCGGGAGCAGAGUGACUNNGUGGUGCAUGGUUGUCGUCAGCUCGUGUCGUGAGAUGUUGGGUUAAGUCCCGCAACGAGCGCAACCCUUGAUCUUAGUUGCCAUCAUUAAGUUGGGCACUCUAAGGUGACUGCCGGUGACAAACCGGAGGAAGGUGGGGAUGACGUCAAAUCAUCAUGCCCCUUAUGACCUGGGCUACACACGUGCUACAAUGGACGGUACAAAGAGCUGCAAGACCGCGAGGUGGAGCUAAUCUCAUAAAACCGUUCUCAGUUCGGAUUGUAGGCUGCAACUCGCCUACAUGAAGCUGGAAUCGCUAGUAAUCGCGGAUCAGCAUGCCGCGGUGAAUACGUUCCCGGGCCUUGUACACACCGCCCGUCACACCACGAGAGUUUGUAACACCCGAAGUCGGUGGGGUAACCUUUUUGG
rnacentral:rRNA from 1 species